rnacentral:rRNA from 1 species
GAUGAACGCUGGCGGCGUGCCUAAUACAUGCAAGUCGAGCGAACGGACGAGAAGCUUGCUUCUCUGAUGUUAGCGGCGGACGGGUGAGUAACACGUGGAUAACCUACCUAUAAGACUGGGAUAACUUCGGGAAACCGGAGCUAAUACCGGAUAAUAUUUUGAACCGCAUGGUUCAAAAGUGAAAGACGGUCUUGCUGUCACUUAUAGAUGGAUCCGCGCUGCAUUAGCUAGUUGGUAAGGUAACGGCUUACCAAGGCAACGAUGCAUAGCCGACCUGAGAGGGUGAUCGGCCACACGGGAACGGAGACACGGUCCAGACUCCUACGGGAGGCAGCAGUAGGGAAUCUGCCGCAAUGGGCGAAAGCCUGACGGAGCAACGCCGCGUGAGUGAUGAAGGUCUUCGGAUCGUAAAACUCUGUUAUUAGGGAAGAACAUAUGUGUAAGUAACUGUGCACAUCUUGACGGUACCUAAUCAGAAAGCCACGGCUAACUACGUG